rnacentral:lncRNA from 1 species
CUCAAGGAAACAAGAUAAAACUUAGCUUUCCACUUUUUCAUCAAAAUAAUUCAACAAUCCCAAAAUUCAUUCUUCUCACAACAAGUAAUUACUCAAUUCAGAUUUUCAGUGGUAUUUUAUCAAGAUGCAUACAUGCUUUGUAUUCAAUUCAGUUCACAUGAUCACAUAUUUCCCAAUAGAUGUUUUACUUAUGAAUGAUCAAUCAACUAAGCAUA